rnacentral:tRNA from 3 species
GCGCAGGUGGCGGAGUGGUCAAUCGCACGCGGCUGUAAACCGCGCGCCCGGAAGGGCUACGAAGGUUCGAAUCCUUCCCUGCGCACCA